AACCCUUCUCUCUCUCUCUCUCUCUCUCUCUCUCUCUCUCACACACACACACACACAUUGACACACUCACCGAGUCAUGAUAGAUAUUUUUUGAUAAGAAGGGGCACUGAGGCACAACACAAACAAAACAGAACAAAGCAACAAAGUCUCAUUAGAGUCAAGUGACUCUUUCUCUCUAGCAGUAAAAAGCAAACCCCACUCUCUUUUUCUUUCUUUCUAUCAUUCGCUCUCCCUCUCUCUACUUUCCUUAUUUGGCUGUUUUUGGUGCAGUGUUGUCGUCGGCACUGUUUGAUUUGUUCUGAGUAAAGUCAGGGGUUGUGGCUGUGUGUCACGGACACCUGUACGUUCUGCAUGAAUGAGAGAGAGAAAGAGAGAGAGAGAGCAAAAGAGAAUACAAAGCGAGACAAUAGUGAACGAAGAAAGAAAGAGUUUUUUUUUUUUUUGGUUUCUUUUUUCUUUGGGGGAGGGUGUUUUUCUUUCUUGGUCAAGUCUAAGGGGAAAAAGAAAACCCUAAAUCCUGAUUGAAGUCUUUUCCGAGUUUCACACAGAAAGAGAAUGGAAUAAAAGAUUUUUAGUGAAUUUUGUGUGGUUUCCUUAAUUGGGUCUCGCUGUGUUCUCAGAUCUGACUCUUUCUUACUAUAUAUAUAUAUUUUUUCAUAGUAUUUCUUCUUUUGAGUCUGUAUGGUGAUUGGUGGGUGUUUUCUGUUUCCACAUUUGGGAAACUUUCUGUCUUUACUCAUUUCAUUCCUCUUUGUUUGAAAAUUCCAUAAUAUAUGCGGUCUCUGGGACAUAGAAAUUGACAGAAGAGAGUGAGCACACAGAGGCACUUGGUAUAAGUCUAUACUAUUGCUUUUGCGUGCUCACUUCUCUUUCUGUCACCUUCCAGUGCCGGUUUAGAUGCCAAAAAUCUUAUCUUUCCGGCCUGCUUUUUGUUCCAGAUCCUCUCUCUCUCUCUCUCUCUCUCAAACAUAUAUGCAGAUAUAUUUUCUCUAAUUUUAUGGGUGGAUACUUGUUUAUUUCAACCUUCAAGAACAGCUCGAGUAGACUGAAAGUGUAGUGUUUAUUCUUUGAAAUUGACAAAUGAUUUUAUGUUUAAUUAUUAGUAUACGUUUUAUAAAUUGUUGAUUGUUUGAAAGCGUGACUUUUGAGGGUGUUUCUCUGAGAAGGUACGCUUGAUUACUGUGCGGAUUAGGCGGCAAAACAUGCUUAUAGCAUGGGACCAUUUACGUUAUAUAGGAGUAGUAGAAUGGUCCUAAUACAACUUGACUGCUCUUCCUUUUUUUCCCUUCUUUUUUUUGAUUUCAGAUCUUUGAUAGUUAGUACUUAGGAUCAGUAUUUUCAUGUUUGUGACUAUGUAGUGCCAUUUGGUUUAUAUUUUAUUCCUGCGCAUGCGUUUUCCACUCGAGAUUUGGUUCUGAUUGGAGUUUGUUCUUACCUGAAUCUAGCCAGAAUCUGAUUGCUAGCUUGUUCUCUCAGCUCAGAUACAUAUUUAUUUACUUAUUUUUCAUGGGUUUGAAACCCUAUUCUAGCUAUCACAGGGUUGCCUUUUGAUAGGAAUGGAUAAGGGUUUCCUAGGUCUGUAGUUUAGUCAAAAUCUCUUCAGUUACAUACCUACUAUUAUAUUUGAAUAUAUAUUAUUGAGUUUUUGGAGAAAAAAAAUAAUUUCAGUCUAAUUUGUCAUUUUUGAUCUCAUAUAUUGUGAUUUGAUGGGAUGUAUUGAGUGUAGAAAAGAUGUGAACUCUUUUGGGUAUGGUUACGAUUGUAAGAAUUUUCCAGAUUUUAAGGAACUUCUUCAGCUGUUUUGUUUGCAGGCAGACAAGAAAUAUAGAAUCUUUUGAGGAACUGUCAACUCAAGUAUCGUGCACAAAAAUCUUGUCUCAAAAGAAAACGUGUGAAUUAGGUCUCGGCAUUUAAACAAUAAUGGUUUUAGUGUGUGGAGUCAUUUCAUGCGUUGAAUUGUGCUGGUAAAUGCUGUCGGUUGCUAGAUGGAAUGUUCAUAUAACUUACUUGGCCAAGAAUGCAGAUUGCUUUAUGAAAAUGAAAUUUAGGAGUCUCCCAACUUUGCCGCGACAAGGUUCUUUCAAGCUUGCUUAAGAAAAUGAAGCUCCUUUCCAUUCCACUCAAGGUAGUCAAAGGUGAAAGGCAACCUUAAGGAGCCAAGGCCUUGUAUCGUUGGAGGCAUGAGGCAACAAAACUUAGUUUGGAUGCCUUGAUUUUUCAAUCAAUGUAAUAAUCAGCCCACUCAAGAUAGUCAAAGGCAAAAGGUGAUCUUAAGGCGCCAAAUCCUUCUUUUGCUUGAGGCAUGAGGAUCUGAAAGAAGCUAAAGUGAAAGCUAUUUGGAAAGAUGUUCUUGAAAGCUCUGAUCCUGAAAGAAGCUAAAGUGAAAGCUAUUUGGAAAGAUGUUCUUGGAAGCUCUGAUCCUGAAAGAAGCUAAAGUGAAAGCUAUUUGGAAAGAUGUUCUUGGAAGCUCUUCUCAGGUUUGCAUUCACGGGAAUUGAAUGCUUUGGUGCUUUCCUAGUCACUGCUUUUAAGAAAAGUAAAUAAUCCUUUUUGGAAUAAGGUGUUUAAGAGGCUUUGGUGUGAUUGCAAAUGUCUUUUACCAAAAGCUACAAUCCGUAGGUUUGAUUUCGAGAUUCAAUAUUACCAAAUGGGGGUGUUCAAGAGAUUGAGCCUUGGUGCAAUAACAAAUGCCUUUUACCAAAAGUGACAAGCUGUAGGUUUGAGUUGGAGAUUCAAUCUCUUCAAAUGGGGAGGAAGUUACACAGUCGGUCUUUCUACAAGGUAGAUUUGUAGCCCAAUGGUCUUUGGGCUUAGUGUCACCUCCAUCCUUGUCGGUGAGAAAAUACUGGGUUCAUACCUUCACCUAGCCAAAAAGGAAAAGGGGGUAGGAGUUAAGUAUAAUGGUAUUUGGCUUCAUGUAAUUUCAGGUCUUAAUUUGUUGCAUUUCUCUUGUAUACUUUCCAUGUACUGAGGCUUCACCCUUUCAUUUUGAUAAAAUCAUACAUACAUGUGUGUGAAGCCAUUUGGUGCAAGACACUCAUAGCUAUACCUGUACCCAAUUGCUUCAAGAAGCCAUUUGGUGCCUGUGUAUGAUGUUAAAACUAGGGCAGGGCUUUGAUCUCAAAUUUUCUUAAUGGUUUGCAUUUUAGGAUUUAA